GGGUAACUGGAUGCAAAAGUUGCACUCUGAGGUUGUCAGGCGGCCUCAUAAAAAACCUGGCAAAAACUUUAAAUGCUGAUAAUGAGUUAGCAUUGGCUGCGUAAAAACGGCCGCGUCUUUUCAAUUCUUUCCUGCGGGGUUGAAUAGGCGAAAAAUAGCAGGAUAGUUAAUCCUUUUUGCUCAAAGGAGGCUUGGCGAAACUUUAAUUUGAGAUAGUUGUUUUGAAGGUCUGUCUGUCGGCAUUUAAAACAGCGAAAUUAAAAGACAGACUAUGUGUGUAGACGCUUUUGCUGAAAUACUCUGGGACGCGGGUUCGACUCCCGCCGCCUCCACCA
rnacentral:tmRNA from 1 species